rnacentral:rRNA from 1 species
UACGAAGGGUGCAAGCGUUACUCGGAAUCACUGGGCGUAAAGCGUGCGUAGGCGGUUUCUUAAGUCUGUCGUGAAAGCCCUGGGCUCAACCUGGGAACGGCGAUGGAUACUGGGAAGCUAGAAUGUGAGAGAGGAUGGUGGAAUUCCCGGUGUAGCGGUGAAAUGCGUAGAGAUCGGGAGGAACACCGGUGGCGAAGGCGGCAUCCUGGACCAAUUCUGACACUGAGGAGCGAAAGCCAGGGGAGCAAACGGG